rnacentral:rRNA from 1 species
AGCGUACACGGUGGAUGCCCUGGCAGUCAGAGGCGAUGAAGGACGUGCUAAUCUGCGAUAAGCGUCGGUAAGGUGAUAUGAACCGUUAUAACCGGCGAUUUCCGAAUGGGGAAACCCAGUGUGAUUCGUCACACUAUCAUUAACUGAAUCCAUAGGUUAAUGAGGCGAACCGGGGGAACUGAAACAUCUAAGUACCCCGAGGAAAAGAAAUCAACCGAGAUUCCCCCAGUAGCGGCGAGCGAACGGGGAGCAGCCCAGAGCCUGAAUCAGUGUGUGUGUUAGUGGAAGCGUCUGGAAAGGCGCGCGAUACAGGGUGACAGCCCCGUACACAAAAAUGCACAUGCUGUGAGCUCGAUGAGUAGGGCGGGACACGUGGUAUCCUGUCUGAAUAUGGGGGGACCAUCCUCCAAGGCUAAAUACUCCUGACUGACCGAUAGUGAACCAGUACCGUGAGGGAAAGGCGAAAAGAACCCCGGCGAGGGGAGUGAAAAAGAACCUGAAACCGUGUACGUACAAGCAGUGGGAGCACAGAGCAAUCUGUGUGACUGCGUACCUUUUGUAUAAUGGGUCAGCGACUUAUAUUCUGUAGCAAGGUUAACCGAAUAGGGGAGCCGAAGGGAAACCGAGUCUUAACUGGGCGUUAAGUUGCAGGGUAUAGACCCGAAACCCGGUGAUCUAGCCAUGGGCAGGUUGAAGGUUGGGUAACACUAACUGGAGGACCGAACCGACUAAUGUUGAAAAAUUAGCGGAUGACUUGUGGCUGGGGGUGAAAGGCCAAUCAAACCGGGAGAUAGCUGGUUCUCCCCGAAAGCUAUUUAGGUAGCGCCUCGUGAAUUCAUCUCCGGGGGUAGAGCACUGUUUCGGCAAGGGGGUCAUCCCGACUUACCAACCCGAUGCAAACUGCGAAUACCGGAGAAUGUUAUCACGGGAGACACACGGCGGGUGCUAACGUCCGUCGUGAAGAGGGAAACAACCCAGACCGCCAGCUAAGGUCCCAAAGUCAUGGUUAAGUGGGAAACGAUGUGGGAAGGCCCAGACAGCCAGGAUGUUGGCUUAGAAGCAGCCAUCAUUUAAAGAAAGCGUAAUAGCUCACUGGUCGAGUCGGCCUGCGCGGAAGAUGUAACGGGGCUAAACCAUGCACCGAAGCUGCGGCAGCGACGCUUAUGCGUUGUUGGGUAGGGGAGCGUUCUGUAAGCCUGUGAAGGUGUGCUGUGAGGCAUGCUGGAGGUAUCAGAAGUGCGAAUGCUGACAUAAGUAACGAUAAAGCGGGUGAAAAGCCCGCUCGCCGGAAGACCAAGGGUUCCUGUCCAACGUUAAUCGGGGCAGGGUGAGUCGACCCCUAAGGCGAGGCCGAAAGGCGUAGUCGAUGGGAAACAGGUUAAUAUUCCUGUACUUGGUGUUACUGCGAAGGGGGGACGGAGAAGGCUAUGUUGGCCGGGCGACGGUUGUCCCGGUUUAAGCGUGUAGGCUGGUUUUCCAGGCAAAUCCGGAAAAUCAAGGCUGAGGCGUGAUGACGAGGCACUACGGUGCUGAAGCAACAAAUGCCCUGCUUCCAGGAAAAGCCUCUAAGCAUCAGGUAACAUCAAAUCGUACCCCAAACCGACACAGGUGGUCAGGUAGAGAAUACCAAGGCGCUUGAGAGAACUCGGGUGAAGGAACUAGGCAAAAUGGUGCCGUAACUUCGGGAGAAGGCACGCUGAUAUGUAGGUGAAGCGACUUGCUCGUGGAGCUGAAAUCAGUCGAAGAUACCAGCUGGCUGCAACUGUUUAUUAAAAACACAGCACUGUGCAAACACGAAAGUGGACGUAUACGGUGUGACGCCUGCCCGGUGCCGGAAGGUUAAUUGAUGGGGUCAGCGCAAGCGAAGCUCUUGAUCGAAGCCCCGGUAAACGGCGGCCGUAACUAUAACGGUCCUAAGGUAGCGAAAUUCCUUGUCGGGUAAGUUCCGACCUGCACGAAUGGCGUAAUGAUGGCCAGGCUGUCUCCACCCGAGACUCAGUGAAAUUGAACUCGCUGUGAAGAUGCAGUGUACCCGCGGCAAGACGGAAAGACCCCGUGAACCUUUACUAUAGCUUGACACUGAACAUUGAGCCUUGAUGUGUAGGAUAGGUGGGAGGCUUUGAAGUGUGGACGCCAGUCUGCAUGGAGCCGACCUUGAAAUACCACCCUUUAAUGUUUGAUGUUCUAACGUUGACCCGUGAUCCGGGUUGCGGACAGUGUCUGGUGGGUAGUUUGACUGGGGCGGUCUCCUCCUAAAGAGUAACGGAGGAGCACGAAGGUUGGCUAAUCCUGGUCGGACAUCAGGAGGUUAGUGCAAUGGCAUAAGCCAGCUUGACUGCGAGCGUGACGGCGCGAGCAGGUGCGAAAGCAGGUCAUAGUGAUCCGGUGGUUCUGAAUGGAAGGGCCAUCGCUCAACGGAUAAAAGGUACUCCGGGGAUAACAGGCUGAUACCGCCCAAGAGUUCAUAUCGACGGCGGUGUUUGGCACCUCGAUGUCGGCUCAUCACAUCCUGGGGCUGAAGUAGGUCCCAAGGGUAUGGCUGUUCGCCAUUUAAAGUGGUACGCGAGCUGGGUUUAGAACGUCGUGAGACAGUUCGGUCCCUAUCUGCCGUGGGCGCUGGAGAACUGAGGGGGGCUGCUCCUAGUACGAGAGGACCGGAGUGGACGCAUCACUGGUGUUCGGGUUGUCAUGCCAAUGGCACUGCCCGGUAGCUAAAUGCGGAAGAGAUAAGUGCUGAAAGCAUCUAAGCACGAAACUUGCCCCGAGAUGAGUUCU